CCGAGCAGCCGUAGGGCCUCCUGCACGGCCCCCUCCUCCUGAUGCCACCGGGCGGUCAGUGAGGACACCUCCCUCCUGUAGGGGUAGAGCUGGUGAUGGAAUCUUUGGCGUGGACCAGUCCACUGUUAACCCAACUCUGGGGAAGAAGGGGAGACAGCAGCCAAACUUGUGACUUAAUAGCUGAGCCCCCAGAACACUGGAGCCUCUAACCUACUGCAUCUGAAGAGACCUGCUACACUUGAGACAUUUAUGUGAGCAACAAACUAUCCUGCUUCAACUAGCUAUUUUGGUUUCUUUCACAGCUGCUGAACUAAUACACAGAGAGAAAAGAGAGAACAAGCUUCCUCCAUUGUAAAAUGGGAACAACUUCACAUUUCUUGCAUAACUUCUCUGGAGAACAAGUGUGAUAAGAAAUAUUGUAUUAAGUUGACAUCAGCAAAAUGGUGGAGUCGGGAACCCCCAAAUUCCACCCCUCCAAACUGGCCAAAACUAUGAGUCAAGUCAUUGAGGGGAUUAUAACAAUCAUAAACAUAUAUGCACCUAAUAGAGUUUCAAAACACA